GCGUGGCGGGAUUCGUAAUUUUGCAAACAGUAUGUCACAUCUUGCCCGCAACUGACCGACCAGAUGAAGCUGGAUAUCAUUGAUCUGGACCUAAACAUCGCGUCAACGGCACUUGUGAUUAUCGUCAGCAUAACAGCGAUUCUUGUGCUUGGCACACUCAUUUGUUUCCUUCCAGGCAGAUGGUGAUCAAUCCACACAUUCCAUAAUCCCAGCAAUAAAAGAUUUUCAAACAGUUAUCAAAAUGGACCAGAGGUUGUUACUGAGAGUCAUCAUCGCUGAAGAUGAUAUAACAUUGUCAUCACCCACCACAACAUUAGACACUGAGGGCAGCACAGCAGACACUGAGAUCCUGUCGCCUGUAGGAGCAUCACCAUCGCUAAGACAACAGUGACCAGAGUUCUUUGACAUACCCAAUUAGCACUCUUCAUAGAGAGACAGGUGUUUGCUGAGUUUAAUAGAAUCGCCAGUAAGAAUCUUGAGAGAAACUUCUUUGAGGCUCUGGACCAGGAUGCCCCACGGUUCAUUGAACUUUUCAAAACAAAAAAGGGAACUGUUGGCCAGAUACUCAGGGAGCUGAUGCAGCACAUGAGCUGGAUGACACCAGACGUCACAGUACUUCGCUCUGUUGUCCUCAAAGGCAUUCCCAUUUUACUCGGUGAUGACUCCAGUGAAUUUUACAAGACCUGCUCUGAUACAGAGAGAGACGAGGCCCUAGAAUGCAUCACUGUUGGUGUGCUGACAGUUGUCAGUGAAGAUAGUCCUCACGAGGGUCAAAGCUCAGUGGACCUCCAGCCCAUCUCCACUGCCAUCAUUCUGGAGGGAAUUAUUGUCAUGGAUCAUAUUAAAAACUUGCCUCAGGCAGUUUGUCUUUUGUUUGGUCUUACAUAUGCAUUGCAUUUGGAUAACCCAAAAUGCAUGGCAAAUACACUCAACUUCAUUCAGACUGUGAUGCUUGGACUGGUAAAGAAAAACUUCCCACCAAAGCUGUUAACUCUGAAGAACAGUCUUCUGGGUUAGAACAGUAAAGAUCCAUCGGCUGUCAGAUAGCACUUUGUAAGCUUUGCCGCCAUUAAUGUUCUCUUCUUAUCAGAGAAAGUUUGAUGCUUUCAUGGAACUGUUCUCGCCCAUUUACGUUCUCAAUGGAAAAAAAGAAUAUUCCAUUAAAGUCUACCAUGUUAUGCAGGUAUGCUAAUGGUGGAAAUAGUGCCACGUUGUGUUGCAAUGAGUUGUUAGUUGUUAUUAGAUGAUAAUGUCAGAAAAAAACCUAGCAAGGUUAUCCUGUUUACAUUUGUGUUUUGGGAAAACUUUUAAUGAUGUUUUUAUUUGUGUUGGUUUAAUCCUUGGACUGCUCACUUUGGGACACAAAAGUAUUUGUUGUACUUUCGACAUGCUUACAAUUAGCUCACAGAAAUGUUUUUUUUUAUUUUAUUUUUUUUAUUUUUCCUUGUCAUUUUAUACAGUUAAAUCAAACCACAACUUUGUUGUUUAGCUGCUGUUUUGUACUUGAAUGUGCAUUGAAUAAAUUUUCUAAUGGAGCUGAAUCAAA
ensembl:processed_transcript